CCGCCCCCGCCCCCGCCGUCGCGGCGUCACCCGCCCCCUCGGCGCCCGCUGCCUCGCCGCACGACGCCGCGCUGGCGGAGCUGCGCCGCGACGUGCGCAACGAAGUGCAACGACUACAACAUAAGCUAGCGAGGGUAGAAGAGCUCCUCACUUUGUUAGCGACGCGGCUCGGAGCAGAUCCCAACAAUGACUCGAGCCUAGACGCGUCCGCAGAGCGGACGGAACGGACGGAGCGAACAGACAGACCGGACCGGGCGGACAGACCGGACAGACCGGACCGGACGGAUAGACCGGACCGGGCGGACCGACCGGACCGGGAACGGGACAGGAGCGAGCGCAGCGACCGCACGGAUAGGAUAGACUCGGCCGGGGCCAGGAAACGACGCUCAAAGGCUCGCAGUAAAGGUGCAGCGCCUCAAGUGCCGACGCCCACCACGCCCAGCGAGUCGCCGGGCAGCCCAGGCGGGCCGGCGGGCGCGGGGGGCGCCGGCGGGGCGGGCGGCGCUGGCGGGGCGGGGGGCGCCGGGGGCGGGGCCGCGCUGCGCCGACGCGAGUUCGUGUAGCGCGCGGCGGCGGGCGAGCCGCAGUAGCGCGCCGCCCGCCGCGCCGCGUGCACGUGAGCGGAGCGUGCCACUGUCGGACGUUUUGGAUCACCGUGUGGCGUCGGAGGGGAACCUCGCCUUGUACGAGCGAUACGUCCCAAAACGCCGUCGGACAGAAUGCAGAAUCGCUUCAUUCACCCGUUAUGCGCUUUCCUGUAAAUACUCGCUUACGAAUAACUCGGAUCGAUCCGAUGCCAGUUGUAUAUUAAUAGGUAUAACUUAAUAUAAGUUGUAGAAUUUAGACCGAUACGACUAAUGUUUAGAUAACGAUAAUACUCAAAACUUGCCGCUAAGCGGUGAUCGCUUGCACUAGUUUAUUAUUAUUUUUAACGACGAAUAAUGUUAUCGAUGCGGUGUGAUAUUACUGAAUGGCAUCCCGAGCUUAAAGCUGACUCGAAUGGUAAUGCAAUAUACGGUAGCAAAUUAAAUGAACAAAAAAAGUUUAACGAGUAGUUACAAUGUGAAUUAGUCCAUCCUGUGUAAAUUGAAACUCGUUAUCGCUCUAUAGUCGAUCUCGGGUCGCGUUCGCUUCGCUCGCCUUUAAGUUCUGCUCACAAGGGUAAUUUUCAAAUUAUAUCUCAAAAUACAGGGAAAAUCAAGCUAGCUGUCGUUAUCUUCAGUCA